rnacentral:rRNA from 1 species
CCUACGGGGUGCUGCAGUGGGGAAUAUUGGACAAUGGGCGAAAGCCUGAUCCAGCCAUGCCGCGUGUGUGAAGAAGGCCUUCGGGUUGUAAAGCACUUUCAGUGGGGAAGAAAGCCUUGGGGCUAAUACCCUCGAGGAAGGACAUCACCCACAGAAGAAGCACCGGCUAACUCCGUGCCAGCAGCCGCGGUAAUACGGAGGGUGCGAGCGUUAAUCGGAAUUACUGGGCGUAAAGCGCGCGUAGGCGGUCUGAUAAGCCGGUUGUGAAAGCCCCGGGCUCAACCUGGGAACGGCAUCCGGAACUGUCAGGCUAGAGUGCAGGAGAGGAAGGUAGAAUUCCCGGUGUAGCGGUGAAAUGCUUAGAGAUCGGGAGGAAUACCAGUGGCGAAGGCGGCCUUCUGGACUGACACUGACGCUGAGGUGCGAAAGCGUGGGUAGCAAACAGGAUUAGAUACCCGUGUAGUC